AUUGAACGCUGGCGGCAGGCCUAACACAUGCAAGUCGAGCGAGCGGCGGACGGGUGAGUAAUGUCUGGGAAACUGCCUGAUGGAGGGGGAUAACUACUGGAAACGGUAGCUAAUAACGCAUACCAUCAGAUGUGCCCAGCUGGGAUUAGCUAGUAGGUGGGGUAACGGCUCACCUAGGCGACUAUCCCUAGCUGGUCUGAGAUGAUGACCAGCCACACUGGGAUGGAGACACGGUCCAGACUCCUACGGGAGGCAGCAGUGGGGAAGAUUGCACAAUGGGCGAAAGCCUGAUGAAGCCAUGCCGCGUGUGUGAAGAAGGCCUUCGGGUUGUAAAGCACUUUCAUCGGGGAGGCGUUACCCGCAGAAGAAGCACCGGCUAACUCCGUGCCAGCAGCCGCGGUAAUUC
rnacentral:rRNA from 1 species